AUGCGGCGCCAUGGCCUCGAUCCGCACGAGCUGGACCGGAGCACGGAGCAGCUCAUGUCGCUCAUCCACGAGAACCUCCCGGACCCGCCCGUCUCCACCACCGCUCGCUUCACCGCCCUCCGCGGCCGCCCCUCCGACGGCGUGGACCGCAUCAGCGGCCUCUCCGACGCGCUCCUCCGCGACAUCGUCUCCCGCCUCCCCGUCAAGGACGCCGCCCGCACCGCCGUGCUCGCCGCGCGCUGGCGCGGGGUCUGGCGCUCUACGCCGCUCGUUCUGAUCGACACCCAGCUGAUCUCCAACGGCCGCACGCCCGCGCGCGCCAGCACGCCGGACGUCACCGCGGCCGUCUCCCGCAUACUCGUCACGCACCCAGGGCCCUUCCGCUGCGUCCACCUUACCUGCAGCCGCAUGGGCGCGUACCAGGGCCAGCUCAAGCGCUGGAUCCGUCUCCUUGCGGCCAGAGGCGUCCAGGAUCUCGUCCUCGUCAACCGCCCGUGGCUACGCGAGGUGCCCCUCCCCAAGACGCUCUUCACCGUCUCCACCCUCACCCGCCUCUACAUCGGCGUCUGGAAGUUCCCGGAUGCGGCCGGCCUCCAAGGCGCCUGCUUCCCCCACCUCCGGGAGCUCGGCAUCUGCAGCAUCGCCGUCGAGGACGGGGACAUCGACGCCUUCGUCGCCAGGAGCCCCGCGCUGGAGAUCCUCAACAUCCAAGGGAGGAUGAAGGGGGUGCGUCUCCGCCUCGUCAGCCACAGCCUCCGGUGCGUGCAGAUCUGCUCUUUCGUCAUGGAGAGCAUCGACGUGGUGAACGCCCCGUGUCUCGACCGCCUCAUCCUGUCGGAGUGUCUCGACCCCGCCGGCGGAUCGCGCACCAGAGUCAGGAUUGGCAACGUCCCCAAGCUGAGAAUAUUCGGGUACCUGGAUCCAGGAAAAUACGUGCUAGAGAUCCGAGACACUGUCAUCACGGCUGGGAUUAAGAUAAGUCCAAGCAUGAUGAUCACAACCGUGAAGGUCCUUAGUUUGAGGGUGCGGUUUGGAGUCUACGAUGAUGUCAAGAUGGUGCCCGCCUUCCUCAGAUUCUUCCCCAAUGUUGAGGCGCUGCAUAUGACGUCUGAAAAAUGUGAUCACCUCGCUGGCAAUUUUGACCUCCAGUUCUGGGAAGAGGUCGGUCCCAUCGUAAGUGUGGUUUUGCGCCUCAAGGUGAUCACGUUUCGUGAGUACCAUGGGAGGCAAGAUGAGAUUGCCUUCCUCCAGUACAUCUUCCAGAAUGCAAGGGUGCUCAAAGAUGUAAUGAUUCAGAUGAUCAAUCCAAGAUUCACUUCACUGUCAGCAGAUGAGAUGACCCGCACCAUAAACAAUAUGCCUGAUGAGAAAUGGGUCAGGAAAUUUCAAAUUCCUGUCUUUCGGAGUAUUGGUCCUGAAGGAUUGAGUCCUUGGACUUUUCAGCGAGGAGCAGACCUUUCCGACGGCGACCCUAUUGCACCGGUUAAAUUCAUCACAAUGCGGUCUUUCUUUUGUUAUGCCUUCGUUCGUAUCAGGUGUAGGCCCGGCCUCUCACCAGCAGAAAUCACAAGCUGGCAAGCAUCGCAACUGAGAUGUUUGACACGUGAAGUCAUGGAGUAUGCACUAGCCUGA
rnacentral:rRNA from 1 species